UUUUUUUUACUUUUUUCUGUAUUUCUUUUUUCUUUUUGUUUCUUCACUCGUUUUCUUCUGUUUUUUAUAUUCUUUGUUUUUUCACUGGGUUUCUUCAUCUUUUUGUUGGGUUUUAUUGUUUUUCUUUUAUUUGCUUUUGCACGAUUUUCUGUGUUUCUUUCUCGAUUUCAUUUUUUUUCCUGUUUUCUUUAGUUUGUUUUUAUUUUAUUUGUGUGGUUUCAUUUGUUU
rnacentral:lncRNA from 1 species